GAUGAACGCUGGCGGCGUGCCUAAUACAUGCAAGUCGAGCGAACGGACGAGAAGCUUGCUUCUCUGAUGUUAGCGGCGGACGGGUGAGUAACACGUGGAUAACCUACCUAUAAGACUGGGAUAACUUCGGGAAACCGGAGCUAAUACCGGAUAAUAUUUUGAACCGCAUGGUUCAAAAGUGAAAGACGGUCUUGCUGUCACUUAUAGAUGGAUCCGCGCUGCAUUAGCUAGUUGGUAAGGUAACGGCUUACCAAGGCAACGAUGCAUAGCCGACCUGAGAGCGUGAUCGGCCACACGGGAACUGAGACACGGUCCAGACUCCUACGGGAGGCAGCAGUAGGGAAUCUUCCGCAAUGGGCGAAAGCCUGACGGAGCAACGCCGCGUGAGGGAUGAAGGUGUUCGGAUCGUAAAACUCUGUUAUUAGGGAAGAACAUAUGUGUAAGUAACUGUGCACAUCUUGACGGUACCUAAUCAGAAAGCCACGGCUAACUCCGUG
rnacentral:rRNA from 1 species